CCUACGGUGGGCAGCAGUGGGGAAUAUUGGGCAAUGGGCGCAAGCCUGACCCAGCAACGCCGCGUGAAGGAAGAAGGCUUUCGGGUUUUAAACUUCUUUUAUGAGGGACGAAAGAAAUGCCGGUACCUCAUGAAUAAGCCACGGCCAAUUACGUGCCAGCAGCAGUGGUAAUACGUAGGUGGCAAGCGUUAUUCGGAUUUAAUGGGUGUAAAGGGCGUGUAGGCGGGACUGCAAGUGAGAUGUGAAAAUUAUGGGCUCAACCCAUAACGUGCAUUUGAAACUGUAGUUCUUGAGUGAGGGGGAGGCAGGCGGAAUUCGGGGUGUAGCGGUGAAAUGCGUAGAUAUACGGAGGAACACCGGUGGCGAAGGCAGCCUGCUGGACAUUAACGGACGCUGAGGCGCGAAAGCGUGGGGAGCGAACAGGAUUAGAUACCCCAGUAGUC
rnacentral:rRNA from 1 species